CCCCUCUCAGGAUUGUACCUGGUGAGUUUCCAGUACUCUACCAAUCUCAGCUAUGUAAGGAGAGUCCAACAGAGGCAUACCCAUUCCAUUCCUAGCUUGGGCAGUGGCUAGCGACUGGAAGGCAAUCUGUUACAAGU